GCCCCCACCCGAAAAAAAAAAAGUUCACGUUAUGUAUACAGUAUAUAAGGAUAUUGUAUAUUUUGUUCAACUCUUAAUGUCUCUUUCCAGUCCUUGUUUCAUACCAACAAAACGCCCUUUUUACUCCCUUUAACAAACCAAAAAAUAGUACUUCUCUGACUUAAAAUAGCAACAAAACCGGUAUUACCAUCUGCCUCGUUGGGAAAGGGAUCUGGAGGAUGUCACCGGAUGGCAGCCCCCGCGGCAUCAGCGCAGGGGUCAAGUGGCUGGCAAACAGGCGAGGGGAGGGCCGAGAUACAUAAUCGGGUCGGCCGUCAGGAUAUUCCAGCCACGGCAUCUUGUCCAGAAAAUCUUUCAGGAGAACAUUUGGAGCAGAUCGGUGGAGUAGCAAGAUGACGACUGACAAGAAAUGAGCAAGUCGGCUCCAUAAAGGUGGAAGCACGCUUCAGAUAUCGUCCAAACAAAACGAAAUCGAAUGAAGAGAUCAAGACAAACCCUGAGUGUCCCUGAGUUGGAUUUCUGCAUGAAGUCAACGGGCCAGAACGACUCCAGGGUGUAAUGAGAGACUAAUCAUUAUCGACAGCAGGUGUUUAAA